rnacentral:RNase_P_RNA from 1 species
UCAGUGAGCCGGCUUAUCGCUGCGCCUUCGGGCGGGGAGGAAAGUCCGGGCAACGCAGAGCAUCCUGCUUCCUAACGGGAAGGCACCUGGCGGGCGACGGCCAGGUGACAGCCAGUGCCACAGAAAAGUACCGCCCAGUUUAGUUGUUGGUCAUUAGUUUUUAGUUGUCAGUUUUUCUGAUAACCAACAACUAUCAACUGAUAACUAGUAUUGGGUAAGGGUGAAAAGGUGCGGUAAGAGCGCACCAGCGGCUAGGCGACUAGUCCGGCUGGGUAAACCUCAGGAGUUGAAAGACCAAAUAGGCUGACAGCGCCUCGCCUUCGGGCGGAGCUAAGGACUGCUCGUCCGAUGUCAGUGGGUAGGUUGAUGGAGCCCCUCCGUGAGGACGGGCCUAGAUAAAUGAUAAGCCAUCUGCCAUCUGGCGGAGGACAAAACCCGGCUUACAGGCUCAUUGAUUUU